GAUGAAGAACGCAGCGAAAUGCGAUAAGUAAUGUGAAUUGCAGAAUUCAGUGAAUCAUCGAAUCUUUGAACGCACAUUGCGCCCGCCAGUAUUCUGGCGGGCAUGCCUGUUCGAGCGUCAUUACAACCCUCAGGCCCCUGGGCCUGGCGUUGGGGAUCGGCGGAAGCCCCCUGCGGGCACAACGCCGUCCCCCAAAUACAGUGGCGGUCCCGCCGCAGCUUCCAUUGCGUAGUAGCUAACACCUCGCAACUGGAGAGCGGCGCGGCCACGCCGUAAAACACCCAACUUCUGAAUGUUGACCUCGAAUCAGGUAGGAAUACCCGCUGAACUUAAGCAUAUCAAUAAGCGGAGGA
rnacentral:misc_RNA from 1 species